UCUUUUAUAGUUAAACCAUAACAUUAGUUUUGUAAACUAAAAUUGAAUUUCUAAAAGAA
rnacentral:tRNA from 1 species